UGCCAGCCGCCGCGGUAAGACGGAGGGUGCGAGCGUUGUUCGGAAUUACUGGGCGUAAAGCGCGUGUAGGCGGCCUUUUAAGUCUGGUGUGAAAGCCCGGGGCUCAACCCCGGAAGUGCAUCGGAUACUGGAAGGCUAGAGUACCGGAGAGGAGGGUGGAAUUCCUGGUGUAGCGGUGAAAUGCGUAGAUAUCAGGGGGAACACCAACAGCGAAGGCGGCUCACUGGCUCAAUACUGACGCUGAGGUGCGAAAGCGUGGGGAGCAAACAGGAUUAGAUA
rnacentral:rRNA from 1 species